CGGAGGAAAAGAAACUAACCAGGAUUCCCCUAGUAGCGGCGAGCGAAGCGGGAUGAGCCCAAGAUGAAAAGCCUGCUUGCAGGCAUUGUAUUUGAGCGUCUUUGGGGUGUCAGUGCGAGCAAGUUGUAUGGAAAUACACGCCGUGGAGGGUGAGAGCCCCGUCCAACUCGCACAGGACACGCCGUACAAAGUCGCUUCAGACGAGUCGGGUAGCUUGGGAAUGCUGCUCUAAUUGGUGGUAAAUCUCAUCAAAGGCUAAAUAGCGGCCGGAGACCGAUAGCGAACAAGUACCGUGAGGGAAAGAUGACAAGCACUUUGAAAAGAGGGUGAAAAGAGCCUGAAACCGUCAUGGGGGAAGCGGAUUGCGUUGGACUGAUGGGUUGUUGUGUGUUCAGCCGUUUCGGUGCAUUGACGCAGCAACUUAUCUGCCGUGGGUUCUGGAUGGUCGAUUUUGGACUAUCUAGGGCUGAGGGCUCCCUUUUAUAGGUGAGGACGGUGGAGCAACGACGCGAUACGACCCGUCUUGAAACACGGACCAAGGAGUCUAGCGCGGGUGCGAGUCAGAGGGUGCAAGCCCGUGGGCAAAGUGAAAGCGAGUGUAAAAACGAGCAGUUUGGGGCGGCAUGAGAUCGUUGAUCUCAAGACCGACCCUGAGCAGUUGCGCUGGGACCCGAAAGAUGGUGAACUAUGCCGGAGUAGGGCAAAGCCAGAGGAAACUCUGGUGGAGGCUCGUAGCGGUGCUGACGUGCAAAUCGCUCGUCGAACUUGGGUAUAGGGGCGAAAGACUAAUCGAACCAUCUAGUAGCUGGUUCCCUCCGAAGUUUCUCUCAGGAUAGCGGGCCGACAUGUGUUGUUUUGUGCGGUAAAGCGAAUGAUUAGCGCACUCGGGGGCAGUUAGCCUUCGGGCGAUUCUCAAACUUUCAAUGCGCAAGGGUGCCGCUGCUUUGUUGAGCGGCACCGGCAAAAACGUCGGCCCUGUGGGCCACUUUUGGUAAGCAGAACUGGCGAUACGGGAUGAACCGUAAGCGUGGUUAAGGCGCCUCACUGCCCGCUUAGAGAUCCCACAAAAGGUGUUGAUUCAUCGAGACAGCAGGACGGUGGCCAUGGAAGUCGGAAUCCGCCAAGGAGUGUGUAACAACUCACCUGCCGAAUGAAUUAGCCCUGAAAAUGGAUGGCGCUGAAGCGGGCGGCCGACACCACGCCGUCUGAUAAAGAAUGAUGAUCAGAUGAGUAGGAGGGCGUGGUGGCCGUGUCGAAGCAUGCGUGCAGACGCGUGUGGAACGGCCACUAGUGCAGAUCUUGGUGGUAGUAGCAAGUAUUCAAGCGAGAUCCUUGAAGGGCGAAGCGGGGAAGGGUUCCACGCGAACAUUGAUUGGGCGUGGGUGAGUCGUUCCUAAGCCGAGUGGCGAUUGCUAAGUAGCGGCGAAAGGGAAGCGGGUUGACAUUCCCGCACACGGAUGUGGAGGCGGUGACGCGUAUUGGGGCGAACACGCUGGCGACGGCGCUGGGCAGAGUUGUCUUUUCUGUUUGACCAGUUUUGCAUGCGGUGUGGAAUCCGCUUGUCGGGAGAAACACGCGUGUCGGGGCAGAGCGCCGAGUGUUUUUCGGCGUCCAGCUCGCCGUCGACGGCCCUUGAAACUUUGCCUGCUGAUUUAAAUCCACGCCGUGGCGUACCGAUCACCGCAUCAGGUCCCCAAGGUGAACAGCCUCUGCUCGAUAUGAACAAUGCAGGUAAGGGAAGUCGGCAAAUUAGACCCGUAACUUUGGGAUAAGGGUUGGCUCUAGUGCUGCGUGGGAGUGGUUGCCGAGUGUCGGGGCUUUUAGUGAGGCUGGCUUGGCGCGGGACCCUUCGGGGACCUGUUCCGGCUGCCGAGCUCAUCGUUCCGCGUUCGGCGACGCCCACAGCAUGCAGCAGACUAGAACUGCAACGGGCAAAGGGAAUCCGACUGUUUAAUUAAAACAAAGCAUUGCGAGGGCCGUGGCCGGUGAUGACGCAAU
rnacentral:rRNA from 1 species